ensembl:snRNA U6 U6 spliceosomal RNA
GUGCUCGCUUCAGCAGCACAUAUACUAAAAUUGGAACCACACAGAGAAGAUUAGCAUGGCCCCUGCAAAAGGAGGACACGCAAAUUCGUGAAGCGUUCCAUAUUUUU